rnacentral:rRNA from 1 species
AUGGAAAGUAAUCCUCUGAGGGGCUUGUUCAGGGUAUCUUCACCCCGACCAAUAGAGCAAAGCGUUGCUCCUCAACCUACUGAACCUACUGAAAAUGAAAAUGUCUACUUUGAGAUUUCUUUGGGUAUGAUAGAAAAACUGCUAGCUAAUCCUUUUGCAGGAGACGAAACGAUGCAUCCUGAUGAGCACCUAAUAUAUGUGGAUGAAGUUUGUGGAUUAUUUAAGCUUGCAGGUGUGCCCGACAAUGUUAUUAAUAAGAAGGUCUUCCCUUUAUCUUUGAAGGGAGAUGCAUUGACAUGGUAUAGGCUAUGUGAUGAUAUGGGAUCAUGGAACUACAAACGAUCGAAAUUGGAAUUUCAUCAGAAGCUUUAUCCUAUGCAUCUUGUUCAUCGUGAUCACAAUUAUAUAUAUAAUUUUUGGCCUUGCUAA